rnacentral:lncRNA from 10 species
CACGCUUUCUACUUGCCUGGAACUCUGGGGCUGAUAGAGCUCCAGGCAAUAGAGGCACAAUGGAGCUUCUAUUGAACGUUUAACGCCUUACUGACUGACUGAGCUAUAGGCGAGGUGAAGGCUGCUCUAUUAUCAGACUUUAUGGCAGCAGGCAGCCUAUAUUGAGGGAUGAUUUCAUUGCGUAAAAACUUAACUACUGUGUUGGUGGUUUCGUUUUCGGUAGCAAAUGCCUUAGUCUAUCUGGAGAAGGUGUCUACUAGUACUAGAAGGUAUUUGUACUUAGCCUGGUGUGGUUUGACUUCUGUAAAGUCAAUUUCUUACUUUUUUCUCGGCGAGUUUUUUCAGAGACAGUGGCCUGGGCUGGGUUUAGGACUUUGUUUGGCAUUUACUUGGGUGCAGGUUGUGCACUGGAGAGCGGCUUAAUCUGAUAGGCUUUGAAGACGGGGGAUCUUAAAAUGGCUCCGGAGGAGCUGAGGUAGCUUUGCUCUUUUUAAGUGGGUGGUAGACUGCAGGUGACUGAUUAAAGUUUCUUUAAGAGUUCAGGAUAUGAAGAUUCUAGAGUCAGGAAGAAUCUACUAACUUUCCUGAUUUUUAUUGGCUCUGAGAUCUGAAGCCAGUUUUUUUGUUGUUGUUGUUGUUGAGUAUACGGGAUUGUCAGGCAGAUCUGGCUGAGGAAAGGAGACUGUGGGCAGCAAGUUUAGAGGCGUGACUGAAAGUUGCGCUGCGACCUGAGCUGCUGAAUCAGCUUUCUAGUUACUAUGGGCAAAGCCGUGUUUUCUUUUUGAUGUCCUUUGCAGUGGAUCACAGCUAUCUGCUGAGACAGACAAGGGGAGGGGCUCCUGUGAUGGGAUCAGUCAGAUGCCUGCCUGGCCGCUCCCCCUGAGGGGACUUGGGCUCCUCUUAACAUUGGCAGGCUGGUAUAAACUUCCGGCUCAGAUCAAGCUAUGCCUGAUGCUGCCUUAAGCCUUAUGAGGUCGCCACGGAACCGCAGGUGAGGGUCUACUUGAACUCCGUAGCUUUAGCCGUGGAGCUACAAACUGGAGGACAAGCGCAAGCCCUUGUCCUCACUCAUUCAUUAUUCACACAGAGUAUAUAACAGUUUUUUUUUUUUUCUUUCUUGGAGAUUCUUCAAGAAACUUGAACAAGAGAAAGAUGAGAGAUAGAAAGAGAGAGAGAGUGACCGGUCUGCCAGAAACCAGGACUCAGUCCUCCAGCAUCCUGGGAUGUGGACUGAGUCAAGGGAGGGCCGCUGUCAGAGCCACUUCCCUCCUAGAAAGAGACACAGAGGUGCCUAACAGAAAACCAGGGCUCUACCUUCUAGCGUCCUAGAGAAACAGGCAGAGUCAAAAGAGGGACACCCUCAUCAGGGCCGCUUCCCUCUUACUAGAACUGAAGUCAAAUCUGACCUACCUGACCUCAGGGUCAGAAGUCGAGGACUCAGAUGUGGAAUUUUUAUGGACACCCACACGGUAGUCGAUCCGCUCUCCUCUGAAAGACGGUCACCUUUCGGGGACCUAAAAAUUUUUUUUCAGGUGGCACCCCCCCUACAAGCCGGCCGGCCUUCUGGGGGAGCCCAGAGCGAGCCCGGCUCUUGCCUGGUGGCGUUUCUUGCUGGGGCCUCCGAAUGUUGUACUUGAGCGAGUUAGAGAAAAUGUCACACUUUGACAUGAAUUAAGAGUCUGUUUAUUUAGCUGACGGCCAAGAAAUGGCUAACUCUUAAAGUUCUCUUGGCCCCGAAGAAAGGGCUAGAUUUUCUUUUAUACUUCAGUUUAGACAGGGGAAACGGGUCUAGUUAAAAGAAUUUUACAGAAGUAAAGUAGGCAAAAAAGUUAAAAGGAUAAAUUGUUACAGGAAAGUAAACAGUUCUAGGUGUAAGGGCUUUAAGACUAUUACAAAGUGAUAGACGUGGGGCUUUAGGCAUUAUCAAUCGGACAAAUUCCUAGGAACUGCGGAUAUUGCUCGCCACAGUAUCUUAUGAGUUAAUUGCAUUCUUAGAUGUGCUAAGAGUCAGCUUGCACAAGUUAAGUCCUUGAGGAAGGGGCUGUCAGUGAAAAGGCCAAGAUAAAAUCUAUCUAGCUCUCUUAGCUAAAAGAAAGUCAAUUCAGGUAGAAACAAGGCUAAGUGAUUAAAAGAAAAGGAAAGUCUAAGAACAAAGUUAAUAAAAACAAGGUUAGGCAUUACAGAUGGGGUCAUCCUUAUAUUCAGCACAGCGUUUGUCCUGAAACUUCAAUGGAGUGCUCCUAGUUUGAUAACUUGGACCAUGCCAAAUAAAUUGAAUUUCUCUUUCUUAACAACAGAUGUUUGAAUACAGCCCCGUGACCCUUUCUGCUCCUUCCUGCCUUCCUCCUCUCCUCUUCCUUCCCUUCCUUUUCAAGAGCAGGGUUUGCAAACUUUUUCUUGAAAGCAUCAGAUAGUAAAUAUUUUCGAAUUCGUGGGCCAUACAGUCUCUUAUAGUAGUUGCUCAACUCUGCCACCCAUAGCAUGAAAGCAGCUGAUAUAGUUGAAUAUGAGUCCCCACCCAAAACUCAUGUUGCAAUCCCCAGUGUUAGAGGUGGGGUCUGGUGGGAAGAGAUUGGAUCAUGGGGGUGGAUUUCUCAUGAAUGAUUUAGCCUCAUCCCUUUGGUCCUGUCCUUGCAAUAGUGAGUGAGUUCUUGCAAGAUCUGGUUGUUUACGAGUGUGUAGCACCUCCCUCCUUACUCUCUUGCUCCCACUUCACCUUCUGCCAUCAUUGUAAGUAAGUUUCCUGAGGCCUCCACAGAAGCUCAGCAGAUGUCAGUGUCAUGCUCCCUGUAUAGCCUACAAAACUGUGAGCCAAUUAAAGCUCUUUAUAUAUUGCCCAGUCUCAGGUAUUUCUUUAUAGCAUGAGAGAACAGCCAAAUCCAGCAGCCAUAGACAAUAUGUAGCAAAUGGACAUGACUGUGUUUCAAUAAAACUUUAUUGACAAACACAUGCACAAGCAGGUCAGAUUUGGCCCAUGGGCAUUAGUGUCCCAACCUCUGCUCUGGAGUAUUCUCUUCAGCAACCUCUGCCUCCUGGGUUCAAGCAAUUCUCCUGCCUCAGCCUCCCAAGUAGCUGGGAUUACAGGCACCUGCCACCACACCUGGUUAAUUUUUGUAUUUUUUAAUAGAAAUAGGGUUUCACCUUGUUGGCCAGGCUGGUCUCAAACUCCUGACAUCAGGUGAUCCAACCACCUCAGCCUCCCAAAAUGCUGGGAUUACAGCUGCCCACCACCACACCUGGCUAAUUUUUGUAUUUUUAGUAGAGAUGUGAUUUCACUAUGUUGCCUAGGCUGGUCUCGAACUCCUGAUCUCAAGUGAUCCACCUGCCUCGGCCUCCCAAAGUGCUGGGAUUACAGGUGUGAGCCACUGCAGCUGGCCUCUAGAUUUUUUUUUUUUUGAUCGUUGCUUAUUUGGUUUGACUUUCAUUUUUUCCCCCAUUGUGGUAGUCAUUUUCUGAACGCCUGUUAGUUUGUCCAUCUCUCUCCUCUGUAGUCCCUAGAGUCAGAUGAACUCCUCUGCAGGUGCAAUGGUGUAACACACUCUAGUGCUGAAUUUUGAGCAGGAGAAAGAGAGCAAGAGUGACCAGUACCCUUGGAAACUCUGGCCUCCUGAGAAUUUGGUGUCUUCCCUGCAAAGGUUGCAAACCUGUUAACCCACAGGCCGGAGAGAGAGAGAAGUCAGAAUCACGAUCUGUUAAGCUUGAGUUUAAUAUUUGAUGCACAGAGAUCACUGAGUUUUUUGAUAAGAAUUAGAGGGGGAAGAAAUAGCCAGAGAACAAUUUCUAUCUCCAGGUGAGGAUUCAGGAGAUAAUUCUGCGAAAAGAACUUCCUGAGAACUAAGAUGGGGAAAAUCACUGGUAUUAGAAGAGUGAAAAGGUCAGUAAUUAAGGCUACAACUGUGCUCUUAGAGGCAAAAGAAGAAAAUGAGACUGCCAGGCAUGAAUAAUGAGAAAUCUUUGAUGGAAUUAGCCAUGCAGAACAGAUAUUAAAUGCAUCCUCAUUCUUCUCAUAGUCAAAAGUAUUUGCCUAAGCUGGAUGGGAAAAAGAGAAUCCCAUUUCACUAAGUAUAAAAGAGGGGAUUUUAGAGAAGGUCUCAGAAGAAAGAGAUGUGGCGGUUUGGUGAAACUCACCAGAGGCUGAACCCUC